CUCUGUAGUGACCAUGGGGAAGUCCUGACCUUGCUUGCAGACUUGACCUCUGGAUAUGACAAGGUGGCUUCACUACAGAUCUACCAAUUAAUCCUGGAAACUAAAAACCAAAAACAAAUCAAAAAAAAAACCAAAAAAACAAAAAAACAACUUCACAGCAAGAAAGAUACAGAAUAUUUCCUGAGAAGUCAGAAGAACCUAAUGUAUUCUGCUCAUGGAAAGAAGUGCUGAAUCAGCGAAUAGAGUGAAGGAACGAUCAAGAGGAGAUGGCAGCUGCUGAUGUGACUCUCUAGGUCAUUAUCUGUCUUCCUCCUGCAAAAGCUGCAUGGCACUAAACUUACAGGAUCUAGAAACAAAAUAAGAAGAAAUUCCUCUGAAGACAAUGAAGAAACACUAGGCUGAUCUUACCAAUUUCUGAAAUAUACUCUAUAAAACCUCCACUGAUUCCCUGAAUCUCUUGCAAAAACAACCAGAUCAGGACAAAGUUCAACAGAUAACUGGCUAGUGUUUAGAAGUAUCUAUGUCCACCAAGAACAAGGAGCCAUAAAUGGCACUAAUGC